GAUUGAUGAUAAGAUUUAUCUCUACAAUUAUUUUAAUCUUUCUUUGCUUUUUGUAAAUUUAAUUUCAAUGGAAGCGGGAAGGAUCCUCCACAUCGGCAUUCCAUGCACCCCCCGGGCGCAGGCCUCCGCCUACUCGUGUUCUUAAUUUCCCGCGCAUUCUUUGCUCGACAUUCCCUGGGAGGUCUGAGCUGCCAUUUCUGUCUCUUUACCCUGAGCUGCCAUUUCUGCCUUCAAAUACCCAGGCAGUGAUCUUGCAACCAUUGGGAGAUAGAGGCAUUGCGAUUCUUGGUGGGGACACCAUUAAGGGUUUUACAGUUUCUGACCAGGCAUGGAUUACUUACAUUGGAGAGAAAUUGGAUGCCACGCUUGCAAAAUAAAUGAGUAGCAUUUGUCACAGACUUUGUUUAAGAUUUUUAGGUUCACCAGGCUGUAUUUCUUGAAACUAAGGACAGAAGAUAUCCAGAUGCAGGGCCGUACCCGUACACACUCCCAUGUAAUUGAUAAUUCAAUUUUGCUCUGUUCUCUGAAAAUAUUUCUGUUGCAUUGCUAAAUGUCUGAUGCUCAACAUUGGAACAUUCUCGAA